rnacentral:rRNA from 1 species
UACAGAGGGUGCGAGCGUUGUUCGGAAUUACUGGGCGUAAAGGGCGCGUAGGCGGCCCUCUAAGUCGAACGUGAAAUCCCCGGGCUCAACCCGGGAACUGCGUCCGAUACUGGAGGGCUCGAAUCCGGGAGAGGGAUGUGGAAUUCCAGGUGUAGCGGUGAAAUGCGUAGAUAUCUGGAGGAACACCGGUGGCGAAGGCGGCAUCCUGGACCGGUAUUGACGCUGAGGCGCGAAAGCCAGGGGAGCAAACGGG